rnacentral:rRNA from 1 species
UACGUAGGGGGGCAAGCGUUGUCCGGAUUUAUUGGGCGUAAAGCGCUCGCAGGCGGCUCGAUGCGUCGUGCGUGAAACACCCCGGCUCAACUGGGGAGGGUCGUGCGAUACGGUCGGGCUGGAGGCCAGUAGGGGGAUGCGGAAUUCCUGGUGUAGCGGUGAAAUGCGCAGAUAUCAGGAGGAACACCGGUGGCGAAGGCGGGUCUCUGGGCCGAAACUGACGCUGAGGAGCGAAAGCGUGGGGAGCAAACAGG